AUGGUCUGGACUCCUCUCAUGAUGCUGCUGUGGGUGUGGUGCACAGGUUCCAGCUCCCAGUCUGUGGUGACGCAGCCGCCCUCAGAGUCAGUAUCCCCAGGAAACACUGUGAAACUCUCCUGCACCGUAAGCAGUGGGACCAGCAUCAGUGGCUACAGAGUGUACUGGUUUCAGCAGAAACCUGGGACCCCCCCUCAGUACCUGCUGUAUUACUACACAGAUUCCAGCAAGCACCAGGGCUCCGGGGUCCCCGCUCGCUUCUCUGGUUCCAAAGACACGUCCAGUAACACCGGCUACCUGACCAUCGCCGGUGCCCUUGCAGAGGACGAGGCUGACUUUUACUGUGGUAUGUGGGACUGUGAUGCUUGUCACAGUGAUACAGUCAGAGAACAAGUGAAACAAAAACCUCUGCUAUCUUCCCCAGCUGGGCUUUUGUGA